rnacentral:rRNA from 1 species
UUUCCUACGGGGGGCAGCAGUGAGGAAUAUUGGUCAAUGGCCGGAAGGCUGAACCAGCCAAGCCGCGUGAAGGACGAAGGUGCCAAGCAUUGUAAACUUCUUUUGUCAAGGGACAAAAUCAGGCUCGAGAGCCUGACCGAGGGUACUUGAAGAAAAAGCAUCGGCUAACUCCGUGCCAGCAGCCGCGGUAAUACGGAGGAUGCGAGCGUUAUCCGGAUUUAUUGGGUUUAAAGGGUGCGUAGGCGGUCCGUUAAGUCAGCGGUAAAAUUGCGGGGCUCAACCCCGUCGAGCCGUUGAAACUGGCA